rnacentral:rRNA from 1 species
GCACCACAACGGGUGGAGCCUGCGGUUUAAUCGGACUCAACGCCGGGAAACUCACCGGACAAGACAGCUGAAUGAUUGCCGGGCUGAAGACUCUGCAUGACUAGCUGAGAGGAGGUGCAUGGCCGUCGUCAGUUCGUACUGUGAAGCAUCCUGUUAAGUCAGGCAACGAGCGAGACCCACGCCAACAGUUGCCAGCUCGUCCUCCGGGAUGGAGGGGACACUGUUGGGACCGCCUCUGCUAAAGAGGAGGAAGGAAUGGGCAACGGUAGGUCAGCAUGCCCCGAAUUGUCCGGGCUACACGCGGGCUACAAUGGGUGGGACAAUGGGUAUCGACACCGAAAGGUGAAGGCAAUCUCCUAAACCCAUCCUUAGUUCGGAUUGUGGGCUGCAACUCGCCCACAUGAAGCUGGAAUCCGUAGUAAUCGCUUGUCAACAUCAAGCGGUGAAUAUGCCCCUGCUCCUUGCACACACCGCCCGUCAAGCCACCCGAGUAGGGUCUCAGUAAGGAUAUCUCUGAUUGGGGUCUUCGAACUGAGAUUCUGCAAGGAGGGCU